rnacentral:rRNA from 1 species
UACGUAGGGCGCAAGCGUUGUCCGGAAUUACUGGGCGUAAAGCGUGCGCAGGCGGUUUUGUAAGUCUGUCGUGAAAUCCCCGGGCUCAACCUGGGAAUGGCGAUGGAGACUGCAUCGCUUGAAUCCGGGAGAGGUGAGUGGAAUUCCGAGUGUAGAGGUGAAAUUCGUAGAUAUUCGGAAGAACACCAGUGGCGAAGGCGGCUCACUGGACCGGCAUUGACGCUGAGGUGCGAAAGCGUGGGGAGCAAACAGG